rnacentral:lncRNA from 1 species
CUAAUUCACCUAAAGCAAAAAUACCACAACACUGAAAUAAAAAAAGCAGAAAAAAGAGGGUUAAAAAAGAUCAAAUUUUGUCACAAAUCCAAUUCAACUUAAUCCAAAUUAAGCACGCAUAUCACAUCACUUAAUUGAUAAUACUAUUAAUAAAAAAGAUCAAAUUUUGGCACAAACCCAAUUCACCCUAAAUCCACAUCAACCAUAUCAACCACAUCACUUAAUCCAUAAAACUAAAAAAAAAAAGAUCAAAUUUUGGCACAAACCCACUUCACCCUAAUCCACAGGAAGCACGAAUACCACCCCAAUUCGAAACCUAACCAAAACCUAAACCCUCUGCAUCCCGAUUCCAUCAAAAACGAGAAAAUGAAUGCGAAAUAGUAGUAGUAGUAGUAGUGGUAGUAGUACCCCUGGUGAGGCGAUCCCCGAGGGCGCUCUCAGCGUGGCGGAGGAGGAUGAGGCGGCGGCGCGGGAGCUCCACCACGGCCUCCGCCUCCGCCACCGCCGCCUCCGGCGCCGAGGCGGCGGAGGCCGAAAUGGGGGAUCGGGAUCGGGAUAGAAAGGGGAGAGAGUAAACCCUACAACUACUACUACUACUAUGGCGACGAAGAAUCCUACGAGGGGGAGAGGAGGGGGAGAGGAGAAGGGGAGGAGGGUUAGGAUUAGGGUUUAGGGUUACGGAGGAGGAGGAGAAGAAGCUCAUUUUUUGAGUGAGGAGUGUGGUGGAUGAGCUUAAAUUAAAUCAAAUUAAAAAUAAUAA